rnacentral:lncRNA from 1 species
CGGUGUCUUAAUUUAUGAUGUGGUGGGGAGAACCAGCCUCAAGGAUGUGGAGUCACAAAGGGUGGAUCUUAACAGUCAGAAACCAUAGCUACCAAGAUACAGCUAUGUUACCUAGGUUACAUCCCAGCUACAGCCCCGCCCCGCCCCGCCCCGCCCCGCCCCAGCCUUCUGAACCAGGACAUCCCUAACCACAAAGGAAGUGGAUCUACCUGGCAGCAGCUUCUCCCCCACCACCACUGUCUACCUGGAUACCUACCCUAGCAAGCCUUCUCUCCCAGUUCAGAUAUGUUUGUCUAAGGAUCUUCCACCUCUGGUCACCACUCCUAAUCACAUCAGCUUUCAGGACAAUGGGAACAUCGUCCUGAAAUCCACACCCUGAAAUCCAUCUGUAACGCUGCUGGGAUUAAAAGGCAAGAAAGGGUGUUCACAGUUCUCUACAUCACCACUGAAGCCUUUGAGCAGAUUCGUCUUAACACAACACCCGACGUUCUGACGACUCCCCAGAAAGCCUUAGUACAACUCCAUCCCGACCCACUCACGACCUCUCUGAUCUGGAGUCUCACCCACCCACCCUCCAAUCAUCUGCACCGCUUGCUAGGACAAGCACCUGUUCUAGAAUCUGCGCUCCCGCAGCGCCCUCUGCUGGACUCCCUCUACCCUGCAGGAUCUGGAACGCUCCAUUCCUCUCUU